rnacentral:rRNA from 1 species
UAUUGGUCAAUGGACGCAAGUCUGAACCAGCCAUGCCGCGUGCAGGAUGACGGCCCUAUGGGUUGUAAACUGCUUUUGUACGGGAAUAAACCCUUCUACGUGUAGAAGGCUGAAGGUACCGUAAGAAUAAGGAUCGGCUAACUCCGUGCCAGCAGCCGCGGUAAUACGGAGGAUCCAAGCGUUAUCCGGAUUCAUUGGGUUUAAAGGGUGCGUAGGCGGAAUAGUAAGUCAGUGGUGAAAGCCCGCAGCUUAACUGCGGAACUGCCAUUGAUACUGCUAAUCUUGAGUACAUUCGAAGUGGGCGGAAUAUGACAUGUAGCGGUGAAAUGCUUAGAUAUGUCAUAGAACACCGAUUGCGUAGGCAGCUCACUAAACUGUAACUGACGCUGAGGCACGAAAGCGUGGGGAUCAAAC